GACGAACGCUGGCGGCGUGCUUAACACAUGCAAGUCGAACGGAAAGGCCCUGCUUUUGUUGGGUGCUCGAGUGGCGAACGGGUGAGUAACACGUGAGUAACCUGCCCUUGACUUUGGGAUAACUUCAGGAAACUGGGGCUAAUACCGGAUAGGAGCUCCUGCUGCAUGGUGGGGGUUGGAAAAUUUCGGCGGUUGGGUAUGGACUCGCGGCUUAUCAGCUUGUUGGUGGGGUUGUGGCUUUCAAAGGCUUUGGCGGGUAGCCGGCCUGAGAGGGGGACCGGCCACAUUGGGACUGAGGUACGGCCCAGACUCCUACGGGAGGCAGCAGUGGGGAAUAUUGCACAAUGGGGGGAAGCCUGAGGCAGCAACGCCGCGUGCGGGAUGACGGCCUUCGGGUUGUAAACCGCUUUCGCCUGUGACGAAGCGUGAGUGACGGUAAUGGGUAAAGAAGCACCGGCUAACUACGUG
rnacentral:rRNA from 1 species